ACGAACGCUGGCGGCGUGCCUAAUACAUGCAAGUCGAGCGAAGUUUUUCUGGUGCUUGCACCGGAAAAACUUAGCGGCGAACGGGUGAGUAACACGUAAAGGACCUGCCUCAUAGACUGGGACAACUAUUGGAAACGAUAGCUAAUACCGGAUAAUAGCAUUAACUGCAUGGUUGAUGUUUAAAAGUUGGUUUUGCUAACACUAUGAGAUGGCUUUGCGGUGCAUUAGCUAGUUGGUGGGGUAAAGGCCUACCAAGGCGACGAUGCAUAGCCGACCUGAGAGGGUGAUCGGCCACACUGGGACUGAGACACGGCCCAGACUCCUACGGGAGGCAGCAGUAGGGAAUCUUCCGCAAUGGGCGAAAGCCUGACGGAGCAACGCCGCGUGAGUGAAGAAGGAUUUCGGUUCGUAAAGCUCUGUUGUUAGGGAAGAAUGAUUGUGUAGUAACUAUACACAGUAGAGACGGUACCUAACCAGAAAGCCACGGCUAACUACGUG
rnacentral:rRNA from 1 species